rnacentral:tmRNA from 1 species
GGGGAUGAACUAGGUUCGACGGGGAAGGUUGAGCGCAUACUGCAAGCCGUGGCGCACGUCCACGUAAAAACGGGCAAACAAGUAGAUGCGAACACUCGCACUGCACCGGCUCUAGCUCUGGCUGCCUAAUCUAGCCGAGCAAAGCCAGCUGACCCGAGGGUCAGCCGUCUGCCUGCUUCAGGUUCGGUUGGAGCAGCCGCAGGCGUCACUAAGACCGAACUGCUGCGCCGUGAGACCGAUAAAUGGCGCCUAAGACUGAUCGGUUGGCUGCGCAGGCUCUUGUUAGGCUGAGCUGAAGCAGCGAGACUUUAACCGCCUAACUAAGCUUGUAGAUGUAUGCAGGAGAGCUUCUUCGGACCCGAGCUGCAAUGCUCGGCAUCUCCACAC